rnacentral:lncRNA from 1 species
CCACCUCCCCGUGCGUCAACCUACGGCCGAACUGGUUGACCCACUUGGUCAACUCGCAAGCUUUCGCCAACGGAGUGGCGGAUUCUCCGCCAGCGGGUGCACUUGGGACGGCCAGUGCCGCGACCCCUAUCCCCGCGCCCGCCACGCGAACCUGUUCUACCCCCAUGACUAUUACGCCCAGGACCGCUUCCGCGUCCCGUCUGCCUAGGGGCCCCAGCAACAGCUGCAGCGAGACGAGGACCGGGGUCCACGCGCGCCCGCUUGACUGGAGGCCCAUCUUCGUCAUAAUCCUGCAAAACAACAGAAUUAGAACGAAGAGCAGAACGGACUUUUCGUUCAGACAGGGCGCGCACUUCCUGGCCCAAGGCAUGCUGUACCAGGGCGUCGUAAGAGGGAAACGGCUUUCCAUAGACGUCUGUGGCGCAAUGGGGCUGCAGGGAAGAAGAAAGGCCUUCGAAAAACCAAAACAUACGCUCACUAGGAGUGAUCGUGGGUAUGUCUUGGAAGACGGCCUCAAGACGCGAAAGGUAAGCUGGUACACUUUCACUAGCACGCAUCGCAAAAGAUUUUUCAGAGAGCCUACGUCGUGCUUCUUGUUCUACAGAGAUAACUUGAGGAGCGAAACGCGUACGCAGGUUAUCCAGAACAAGCUGAGCAGUGAGUUCGCGCUGCGAUAGGGACCACUCAUCAUACCACGUUUUUGCAGCGCCACGGAGCGCUUGCGACAAAAACAGGCAGCAAGAACGAUGGUCCCUACCCCAGGGCACGAUUUCGAAAAACAAAGACGCGUCACGAAUAAACGCCUUGACGCGGGCAGCAGUCUGCUUCGCAUCAAGCUUGGCAUCUAGCUGCAAAACAGGAGUCGGUAAACUAACCCGAGGAAGGUCGGCAGAAGAAAUCGGCCGAACCGAAGGCAAAGGCUCUGGCUCGGCUGCGGCUGCCGCCGCAACCGCAGCCCCAGCAGCAGCAGCCGCUUCCACCGCUAACGCACGCGCAGCCGCAGCACGGUGGUCCGCAUCUGUCGUCGGGGUUUCUGGUAUCACCGUUGGAACAUCCGGACGAUUCAUGUGAGUAUUAGGCGGGUUGCGCAGAGCAAAAGGGGCCAAAGAAGGCAAGGAGUGGAGACGUUCGUCACCAGUAGGGCCAAGUGGCCUUAAACGAACAUUCUCGGCAGCCCCAGUGGGCAUAUGCAACAAAGGUGCUGCAGCAAAAGUUGAGAAUGGCGUUCGCGCAUCAGGUUCGCGAACAGCAACAGGGACCUCAAUAGGGCCGCCCGGACCUCUAGAAGUACUAGGUGCACCGGGGUCGGAAACAAGUCCCGCAACAGCGUAGGCAGGCAAAGUGGAACGAGCAUCAGGUGCGCCCGACGCCAUGUCUACGCCAUUACGGUCGCCACCCAAAUUAAACGGGGCGGGGCUAAACAUUUUAGCUAACUGAGAAGGGCCUACCCUAAUACAGCAAUGACGCAGUCACUGCCGCGGAUAGGGGGAGAGCUUGAAGUAGCGGCUCUACCUCAGUCGGGUCCAGCACACCCGUUCUAACCUCUGCAACAACAAUGAGCGAGGCAACCAAGGACAAAACAAUACAGAUGAUUACGAUCUUUCACUUACCCAGAAGAGCCGCCGCGAGCGCUCCAACACUGUAAGCCUAUGACCUUUACUAACAAUCGAGAUGGGUGCGGAAGAGCUGGUCGAGACCGAACGUCUCGAUACCACUUGUUGUAUCCACCUCCACUGUUUA